UCGAGGAUCUUUCGCAAUGGGCGCAAGCCUGACGAAGCGACGCUGCGUGAGCGAUGAAGGCCUUCGGGUCGUAAAGCUCUUUCGCGCAAGAACAAGGAAGCUAUGUGAAUAACAUAGUAACUUGAGGGUACUGCGUAAAGAAGUGCCGGCUAACUCCGUGCCAGCAGCUGCGGUAAUACGGAGAGCACAAGCAUUAAUCGGAAUUAUUGGGCGUAAAGGGCGCGUAGGCGGAAGAAUAAGUCAGAUGUGAAAUUCCAAAGCUCAACUUUGGAGCUGCAUUUGAAACUAUUUUUCUAGAGGGUUGACGGAGAAAACGGAAUUCCACGUGUAGCGGUGAAAUGCGUAGAUAUGUGGAAGAACAUCGGUGGCGAAAGCGGUUUUCUAGUUUAUACCUGACGCUGAGGCGCGAGAGCAAGGGGAGCAAACAGGAUUAGAUACCCGGGUAGUCC
rnacentral:rRNA from 1 species